rnacentral:tRNA from 1 species
AGGGGCGUAGUGCAGUUGGUAGCACAUUUGAUUGUCGAUCAAAAAGUCGCGGGUUCGAGUCCCGUCGUCCCUG